CUUCACAAAGUGAUACUACUCAGAACAGAGCCCUUCAUAUCAACACUCUCUUUCUCCAUGACCAAGAAAACUCUUUCUUCUUCUCAAGCUUCAUCUCAAAACUCCAUGCACAAAACCCUUCCAGAUCCGACAUAAUUACUACCCAUUCCUUCAAAACCCUCAUCACUCUCUUCUCAAUCUCGCCACAUCAAAUUCAAGCGCUUUCCACUUCAAACUCUCCCCGCUCUAACCAUUCCAAGAAGCCCACACCCGUCGUCGCCGCCGCCGAUGCCGCCGCCAAAUCCUCUUAA